CAUGCUAGAGCACUUUUUUAAUGUGCUCCCCAACGAGAAGGCAAUGACGCAAUUGUAUGUCAAUCCAUAUCGACUUUCGAUGGCAUUGACUGAACCUACCAUGGUGACCACGGGUAACGGGGAAUCAGGGUUCAAUUUCGUACAGGGACCCUGACAAACGGCUACCACAUGCAAGGAAGGUAG